UGGGAAUAUUGGGCAAUGGGCGAAAGCCUGACCCAGCAACGCCGCGUGAGUGAAGAAGGCUUUCGGGUCGUAAAGCUCUGUCCUUGGUGACGAAGGAAGUGACGAUAGCCAAGGAGGAAGCCCCGGCUAACUACGUGCCAGCAGCCGCGGUAAUACGUAGGGGGCGAGCGUUGUCCGGAAUGACUGGGCGUAAAGGGCGUGUAGGCGGCGUUUUAAGUCUGGAGUGAAAGUCCUGCUUUCAAGGUGGGAAUUGCUUUGGAUACUGGAGCGCUUGAGUGCGGAAGAGGUAAGUGGAAUUCCCAGUGUAGCGGUGAAAUGCGUAGAGAUUGGGAGGAACACCAGUGGCGAAGGCGACUUACUGGGCCGUAACUGACGCUGAGGCGCGAAAGCGUGGGGAGCGAACAGGAUUAGAUACCCUGGUA
rnacentral:rRNA from 1 species